ACGGGUCUAAGAUAAGCCAUGGCACGUCUAAGUACAAACUAAAUGAUGGUGAAACUGCAAAUAGCUCAUUACAACGGUUAUGAUGUACCCGGGAGUUCCGAUGGAUAUUUCCAGUAACACUAGAACUAAUACAUGUCCCUGCGUUUAUUAGUUUCGCACAGUCCGUCGCUGAGUCAUGGUAAACAGUUGAUCGACUCGACGUCCCGGAACAGUUUCCGCCCCAUCAGCUUCGAUGGUUGGGUAUUGGCCUACCAUUGCAACAACGGGUAACGAGGAAUUAGGGUUUGAUUUCGGAGAGGGAGCCUGAGAAACGGCUACCACAUCUACGGAUGGCAGCAGGCGCGCAAAUUACCCAAUGCAGACACUGUGAGGUAGUGACGAGAAAUAAUAAAGCGGGACUUCUGUUUCGCUAUUAUAAUGAGGAAUAACCAAAGGUCAUUCCGAUUAGCAACUGAUGGGAAAGUCUGGUGCCAGCAGCCGCGGUAAUACCAGCGUCAGUA
rnacentral:rRNA from 1 species